CAAGUUCCCGCCACUCUCUGGUUUACGUGCAUGGCGACAUGUCAUGCUCCUAACCCUGACGUAUUACAGGCUUUUCUACAUGUACUGGCUGUCUUCGAAGACUGGCUUUCAGCAGUCAGAAAAGCUCAGAAAUCAAAGAAGCCAGUCUAAUCCAGGAGUUAGUCACAAUUUGGAUUGUUACAGUGCAGCUGGACAAGUGUGGAGUUCUGUCACCUCUAGACUUCGUGUCCAGAGCAUUUCUCUAUGGUUGUCUGGCAGCUUUUAAGUUAAUGUUCUGUACAAUCUUUGUGUGUAGAUCAACCGCCACUGCAUCAAUUUAUACAUGCUCAAGAACACAUGCAUAAGGAUGUUGGCGAACAGAU
rnacentral:telomerase_RNA from 1 species